rnacentral:rRNA from 1 species
UACAGAGGUCUCAAGCGUUGUUCGGAUUCAUUGGGCGUAAAGGGUGCGUAGGCGAUCUGACAAGUCUGGUGUGAAAGCCCACAUGUUAACUGUGGAAGUGCAUUAGAAACUGUUGGAUUUGAGUUCAGGAGAGGAAGGCAGAAUUCCCGGUGUAGCGGUGAAAUGCGUAGAGAUCGGGAGGAAUACCAGUGGCGAAGGCGGCCUUCUGGACUGACACUGACGCUGAGGCGCGAAAGCCAGGGAGCAAACGGG